GAUAAAUGGACACUCACAUACAGAUUCACCCAGAAGAGAGCAAGAUGACAUUCACUAUGCAGAGAUAACUCACAUUAAACCAACAGAAAACCAGGAGGAGCGAAGAGGUAUACCAGAGCUGGAUCUGCUUAGAGACAACCCUAACCUGACAUUAGUUUAUUAUACACUCCAGUUACAUCACAUGGCUGUCAGCGAGGAUGUUAACACAGCAUGAAGGAGAAAGAGAACAGCAAGUUACUGAGAGGGUGACAUGAUCAUUCACAUCCAAGAGAAGGCAUUACAUCUUACAGUGGACUUUGAGACAAAAUUAUAGUAAAUAUUAGUUCGUUAUACUGCUGUUAUAAUACUGCUGGUCAGAAGCUUCUUUUCAGUUCUGUCUGUUCUGUUGUUUAAAUGUAGGUGCCUCUCCUGUAUCUUUUAUAGUAUACAAAUUUCCGCUAUUGAAACUGAAUGUUAGUCUAAAAUAAA